rnacentral:lncRNA from 1 species
UAUACUACCACGGGGCCAUUAGGCGCGGCGCAAGCUGGACUACCUUGAGUAGAUCCCCGUGAAUGAAAGUAAAACUCUAUUGAUGUGAAAGUACUAAAUGACAAAGGACAGUAAUGAAUGCUUACUAGUUACAGUGUACAGUAGUACUUACACAUUUAUGCUUAUGUUCGUGCUUAUAGUAGUUGCCAUGCUUCUACCAUUCAGUUGAUUCAUUACUGUUGAGAUUAUGAUUACAUGUUGCUUACAUGUUCAUUAAUUGUUAGCAUUGAAAAUAUAUCAUGCAAAUUACUGCUUUUAUUUCCAUUUAGUACAUCAUGAGCCUAGUGGUGUAAUUCGCCGAGGCUGGCGGCUUACCCACUGGGAACUAUUGUUUAUAGUUCUCACGCCCUUUUGGAGGUUGUUUUUACAGAGCCUAGUACAGGAGAGGCUAGGGAUCGUGGCAAGGGAGUCGCGCCUAGCUAGGGACUACUAGGAGCGUGCUAGUCCAUCACCUUGCUACUCGGGCUACGGCCGAGGGUGAUGUCCCUAUGUAUAGAGAGACCACCGUUGUACCUAUUUAUUUUUGUAUACCCGUGAUGUAUAUUUACUGUUUGGACCAGAUACUAUAGUUGUGAUCUCUUCUCCUUUUUGCUGAGAUUUUGGAUUGUAUACUCUUUGUACCUAUACUGAUAGUAUAUCGACUUGUACUUUGCUCUGAUAUCAGGAUAGGAUUUUACUAUACUUUUCUCCUAUCGACUUGUGUUCUUGUAGACGCCUUAUAUACUGCAGGUGUAUGGCGGGUCUGUGCACGUGCCGGAUAUGCUUCCGCUGGUACCCGGGCGUGACAUUUA